rnacentral:lncRNA from 1 species
CAGGGGGACGGCGGCGACGCAUGCGCAGAGCCGCGCGGGGCGGGCGGCCUGGUGAGGGGGCGGCGGCGGCCUUUUGGGGGGGGGGUCCCGGACCGGGGUGGGACCGGGGGGAGCGUCCCGGCCCCUCACGACCCCUCCUGGACCCUCCUGCGGGGCAGAGCGGGGGCCGCUUCCCCCCUUCCUGCCCCCACCCCACAGCGCGGGGGCCCCAGAGCCCGCCCAGGGCCCGCCCCGGGCCCGUCGGCGGGAGCCGGAGCCGGGAGGGGCUCGGCCGGGGCCUCCCUGGGGCCUGCCCCGUGUCAGCGCCUCAGCCGGCCCGCGGGGUCCUCGGGAGAACGGUCCGGGCUUUUCCUUUCCUCCAUGAAACGCGGUCAUGGCAGAGCCGGAGUACGUGCUUUGCAAGCGGAGGGAGCGUUUGUGGCCAGCGAAGGUUUUGUGCAAAAGUGGAGACGCUGGAAAAUCAUCUAUCGCUAAUGCAGAGGAAGCUUCUUUGGAAGUUGAAAUAUUUGGCUUAA